GAAAAUUUAUAAAAUUUACCUGCAAACACUAAUUUUUGUUUUGUUUUAUUUUUGUAACCCACAGAUGCCACGUUCUUUUUUUUUGGAGGCGAGGCAAAGUCAUGCGGCAAUUGCUGCCCGACAGUUAAGAGAUGUGUGCAAAUCGUUUUUAUAUCACGCAUAGGUACCCAAACAAUUGUAAAUAUUCUUCGCCUAAAGUCCCUGAAUUGUGAAGAAGCUGCCUAACCGAGUGGUGUUGCAUAUAAAAAUUACCAAAAACUGUAAAUCGAAAAACUGUACACAAGAUACCAAAAUGAGAAACUCUGUAACAUAGAAUCUGGUAAACCUAAAAAUAUUGUAAAAUAGACAGCUGCCAUUUUAUGAGUAUGCUUGUAAAGCAAACCCAUUUUAUAAACUAAAAUUAAAAUUAAGCACAAAGAAAACCUU